rnacentral:rRNA from 1 species
CCCUUAGAUGUUCUGGGCCGCACGCGUGCUACACUGAGUGGAUCAGCGGGUCAGGUUGCGCGAAAGUGUUUCCUAAUCUUUAAAUCCGCUCGUGAUGGGGAUUGACGGUUGCAAUUUUCCGUCAUGAACGAGGAAUACCUUGUAAGCGCGGGUCAUCAUCCCGCGCUGAAUACGUCCCUGCCCUUUGUACACACCGCCCGUCGCUCCUACUGAUUGAGUGUCUCGGUGAAUUCUUUGAUCUUCUGUCGAUUCAGUUCACUGAUCCGACGGUGGAAAGUUGAAUGAACUUCGUCACUUAGAGGAAGGAGAAGUCGUAACA